UACGGAGGGUGCAAGCGUUAUCCGGAUUCACUGGGUUUAAAGGGUGCGUAGGCGGGCAGGUAAGUCCGUGGUGAAAUCUCUGAGCUUAACUCAGAAACUGCCAUGGAUACUAUUUGUCUUGAAUAUUGUGGAGGUAAGCGGAAUAUGUCAUGUAGCGGUGAAAUGCUUAGAUAUGACAUAGAACACCAAUUGCGAAGGCAGCUUACUACACAGUUAUUGACGCUGAGACGCGAAAGCGUGGGGAGCGAACAGG
rnacentral:rRNA from 1 species